AAUGUUUGAUGUUGCAGAGAGUUAGGCUGGAUUGAAGUGGGAGGGGGAGGCCUCACUUGGCCCCCUGAUCAUUCUGGAUACUGAGCUGAACAACCUGGCAACUCAGCCCCUGACUGAGGGUGAUGGAAGGAUGCAGGAGAGGUCUCCAAGCGGUGUGGAGUCUGAGCUGGGUGUGAUAGUAGUCCUGACUGUGACAGCUGUCUGUCUGAUCUCUGCUUCAUUGCUGGCCUUGUUCCUGUACAGGAGAUGCAAGCAAACACCCUUCAACUGGUGACUGGAAUAGUCAAUAAAGCAGUGAUUCAUGUCCU